rnacentral:rRNA from 1 species
GACGAACGCUGGCGGCGUGCUUAACACAUGCAAGUCGAACGGAAAGGCCCUGCUUUUGUGGGGUUCUCGAGUGGCGAACGGGUGAGUAACACGUGAGUAACCUGCCCUUGACUUUGGGAUAACUUCAGGAAACUGGGGCUAAUACCGGAUAGGAGCUCCUGCUGCAUGGUGGGGGUUGGAAAGUUUCGGCGGUUGGGGAUGGACUCGCGGCUUAUCAGCUUGUUGGUGGGGUAGUGGCUUACCCAGGCUUUGACGGGUAGCCGGCCUGAGAGGGUGACCGGCCACAUGGGGACUGAGAUACGGCCCAGACUGCUAUGGGAGGCAGCGGGGGGGAAUAUGGCACAAUGAGCGGAAGCCUGAUGAAGAAGCGCCGCGUGCGGGAUGACGGCCUGCGGGUUGUAAACCGCUUUCGCCUGUGACGAAGCGGGAGUGACGGUAAUGGAUGAAGAAGCACCGGCUAACUACGUG